GACGAACGCUGGCGGCGUGCUUAACACAUGCAAGUCGAACGGAAAGGCCUUGCUUUUGUGGGGUGCUCGAGUGGCGAACGGGUGAGUAACACGUGAGUAACCUGCCCUUGACUUUGGGAUAACUUCAGGAAACUGGGGCUAAUACCGGAUAGGAGCUCCUGCUGCAUGGUGGGGGUUGGAAAGUUUCGGCGGUUGGGGAUGGACUCGCGGCUUAUCAGCUUGUUGGUGGGGUAGUGGCUUACCAAGGCUUUGACGGGUAGCCGGCCUGAGAGGGUGACCGGCCACAUUGGGACUGAGAUACGGCCCAGACUCCAACGGGAGGCAGCAGUGGGGAAUAUUGCACAAUGGGCGGAAGCCUGAUGCAGCAACGCCGCGUGCGGGAUGACGGCCUUCGGGUUGUAAACCGCUUUCGCCUGUGACGAAGCGUGAGUGACGGUAAUGGGUAAAGAAGCACCGGCUAACUACGUG
rnacentral:rRNA from 1 species